rnacentral:rRNA from 1 species
CCUACGGGCGGCUGCAGUGGGGGAUAUUGCGCAAUGGGGGCAACCCUGACGCAGCAAUGCCGCGUGAAGGAAGAAGGUCUUCGGAUUGUAAACUUCUGUUAAGAGGGAUGAAGAAAUGACAGUACCUCAAGAGGAAGCCCCGGCUAACUACGUGCCAGCAGCCGCGGUAAUACGUAGGGGGCGAGCGUUGUCCGGAAUCACUGGGCGUAAAGGGCGUGUAGGUGGUUAAAUAAGUCAGGUGUUAAAAUGCGGGGCUCAACCCCGUAAUGCACUUGAAACUGUAUAACUUGAGGACAGGAGAGGAAAGUGGAAUUCCUAGUGUAGCGGUGAAAUGCGUAGAUAUUAGGAGGAACACCGGUGGCGAAGGCGACUUUCUGGCCUGGCCCUGACACUGAGGCGCGAAAGCGUGGGGAGCAAACAGGAUUAGAUACCCGUGUAGUCUC